rnacentral:snRNA from 1 species
GUGUUCACUGUGGCAGCAUAUAUACUAAAGGUGGAACAAUACAGAGAAUAUUAGCAUGGACCCUGUACAAGGAUGACUCACAAAUUCAUGAAGCAUUCCAUAUUUUC